GCAGACGACGAAGGUCGUUAGACAGUGCCCGACAACGGGCGAGCUGCGAAAGGGAAGCCGGCGAAAAUUCCGGCACCGCGUCAAGCCGUGUUCGACGUCUCGAGGAACGUUCGCUGCCGCAAGGUUGGCGUGCGUGCCCGGCGUCGAACGUACCGACGGCAACGUGACUGGUUCGAAGACGCUCAGCACGGCAUCGGCAUCGGUUCUCUUCCGAUGUUAAGGUGACGACGCGACGGAGUCGGUUCGCCCGGAGAUGUCGCGCACGUCGGCGAAAAGGGUGGCAAGAACUGCGACCUUCGGUAGCCGUGCUGGGCCCGUGAAAAUUCGAACGAGCGGAUUACGAGCUUGACGCGAGCGUACCCAGAACCGCAUCAGGUCUCCGAGGUGAGAAGCCUCUGGCCGAACGGCAAAAGGCGGGCUAGGGAAUUCGGCAAAAUAGAUCCGUACCUUCGGUACAAGGAUUGGCUCCGCGGGUCGCGUCUGCCGGCUCGCAUCGGCGAAUGACGACGCAGCGACCGUUGUCUCUUCCAGGGGGCGGCUGUUGCAGCGAAGUUAGGCGAAGGUGCGAGUUGAGCGCUGCGGGUUUCGGCCUGCAUCGCUCGCCACGCUAGGCUAAAAACGAUCGACGCGGAGCUGGCACCGACACGGCUGACCGGACAGUUUAAUUAAAACGCAGCGCGUGGCUAUCCGCAAGCGGCGUGAAUCACGCGUGAGUCCUGCCCGGUGCUAUGAAUGUCAAGGUGGGGAGAUUCACCUAAGCACUAGUUAACGGCAGGAGUAACUAUGACUCUUUUAAGGUAGCAAAAUACCUUGUCGCAUAAUUGGCGACGCGCAUGAAUGGAUCAACCAGGUCAGCACUGUCCCAGUCCGGUCGCCGGCGAACCAACAGACGGGGGAACGGGCCCGUCAGACACAGCGGGGAAAGAAGACCCUGUUGAGCUUCACUUCAUCUGUCGCCUGCAGGUGGGUGCAGCGUCUGUAGUAGUAGAUGGGAGGCGAGCGAUCCGUCGUUCGCCGAUUGUGAAAGACCAUUGACGCAGUUACUCGCUCGCUAACCUGGUGAGAGGGGAAGCGCGCGUUCGGUCUUCGGGCCGACGCGCCAGAUCCAUGCAACAAAGCGACAACGCGGCGCACCUCGUGUGCAGCCGAGCCCGGAUGUCGCGACCCGUGCCAGGGACAAGCCGCGGUGGGAAGUUUGGCUGGGGCGGUACGACCCGAAAAGUGUGGCCGGGUCGACCAUGAGUCGAUCUCAGUGUGGACGGAAACCUCACGUAGCGUUUAAGGACAAAUGAUCGUCUGAUCCGGCGCCACAGCACAGCGCCGGGGCUCGACAGAGCGGCCUAGCGAUCUCGAAACGGCGCCCGGUCUCGGUCGUUCGAGUGACGGAAAAGUUACCACAGGGAUAACUGGCUUGUGGCAGCCUAGUGGCCUAAAUGACGCUGCUUUUUGAUCCUUCGAUGUCGGCUCUUCCUAUCCAGGCAGUGCAAAAGUUGCCAAAGGUAAGACUGUUCGUCUGCUAACAGGGAACGUGAGCUGGGUUUAGACCGUCGUGAGACAGGUUAGUUUUAUCCUACUGUGAGUGGUCGUCCCGAUGGUAGGAUCGUUUAGUACGACAGGAACGACGAUUCAUUGCCUAUCGCAAUGGAGUCGGUCGAGAGACCGAUGCUCCGAAGCGACGCAAUUCGGAUAAGGACUGAUGGCCUCUAAAGUUCGAAGCCGUGCCAAGUGAGCGGACGACAGUGGCGCGGGUAGACUGCUGCGACGGAGUUUUCGUUUUGCCAGCCUCGCCGCCGUGCGAAAAAGGCCUCCUUCUGGAGCAGCCUAGGGCAACAGGUGCCGCGUGUACCGACGAUGCUCCGUCGAAAGAUCACCAGUAUACGACUGGGGAGUCUCGGUACUGUAAGGCGUCGAGCUCUAGGGCGAGCGUCUGAGGUUUAGCCGGAGACUAUAGAUCUCGUGAAUACUCAACGUUAUUUUGGCGUGUACAAGUGUGUGCGUGCGCGUUGAAGUGUGCGAGCGCUCGAGCUUUUCGAAGUUCAUAGUCGCCGCCGCCCAAACACCCCACCCACCACUCUACACCCCUAACCAACGACUAUAGAUAGAGAUAACGUGUAGCAUCGAGGACAAGUUUCUCGGCGCCGCGUUAUCUCGCCCCCGUUUGACUUAAAAAUUACCCAUUCGGCCCGGGAAUUUACCCAUUCGGGCGAAAUUUUUUUAAUACCAUCUUUUUUUUGCUAUUUUUCUCAAUUUUUGCCAACUUUCGCCUUACUGAUGAUCGUACGGCUAAGGCUUGUGGUUAUAAUAUUCCGCCCUAACUUCAGGGGGUGGUAGUCUAUGAGAUAGUUGUUGGCCUAGGCUUGAUUGGCUUUAUUGCCCUGAGCUAAUUUCAGCCGGUGUUUUCCCUAACUUCAGGGGGUGGUAGCCUAUGAGAUAGUUGUUGGCCUAGGCUUGAUUGGCUUUAUUGCCCUGAGCUAAUUUCAGCCGGUGUUUCUCCUAACUUCAGGGGGUGGUGGUAGCCUUUGAGAUAGUUGUUGGCCUAGGCGUAUGGUUUGCUUGCCGUCGCCUAUGUUUGAGGGCGGCUCGGCGCUAGGUAUCGGUAGCUUGCCCUAACUUCGGGCGCGUCGAGCCUCACCUCGGCGUAUGGUUCGCUUACGGUCGCCUAUGUUUGAGGGCGGCUCGCCUCUCAUAUGGUCGUGGGGCUCGGCGGUCGGCUUACCUUUCGGAUUGUCGGUAGCGACAGACUAUGCACAUACUCUUCGACGCACCCCCGACUAGAUCGUUGGCGAUGCUUGAUCGGUGCGAUCGCGAACAAAAGAUUUGGCUCGCUGUCUUACUUUGACGCGCUCGCUCUAUUGUUAUGGUUUACUUUGACGAGGCUCGCUGUCACGCGGCGACGUGAAGUAGUUCGUCAGCAGAUAUUUUCUCGUUUUGACACCCAAUUAGGAAAAUUUCGGGUUUGAAACCAUGUUGACGAUCAUUUUCGAGCAAUUCUGCACCCGGACACACCCGAUUUUGUCGAAACUCGCAACUUCUCUAAUUUUCGUCUACAAAUUUUUCGAAUUCUAUCGUCCACAGUAAAACACUAUGGCGAUCUAGUCACCACUUUCUCGAUCGUUCGACUGCUAAUCGUUACUUGAAGAAAGAAAAAAAAAUCGACCGACCGAUAUACAUCCGGCAAGGAUUCUUCGUGCUAAAUUGGUUCGCACACAAACCACAAUGGUCAAUCGUCAUAGGAUUUUUCUUCAAUCUGGUGUUAUUUCGGGCCCUAAUUUUCGAGAAAAAAUUUUUUUUUCGCACACCUCCGGAUCGACUCGCAAUCGCAGCGCAAAGCCACAUUCGGAAAUUUCACGCUAAAAAAUGUAGACAAAUGACAAAAAAGAAAAUUCGCUCGACAAUUUCCAUACAAAACACUCGAAACGUUACUAAUUUCGCGUUUAAACGUUAUUCCGAUAAUAUAAAAAAAUUGCAUUUUAUGCACCCAACGCUGCUAGGUUUUCGUCCUCCCACGGUGUUACUAUCAUCUUGCCAAAUUUCUCUCCAACUCCACCGCAUUCGUGAUAACUCAUCGGAUCCGAGCUACUUGAAGGCUCGACGACACGAUUGGCGACGAGCGCGAUUGAUCGACUUCGCCGAAAAUUACCCGUUCGGUCGACCUAUUCGUGGUCGAGCGUACACUUUUUUCGUUUACCCAUUCGUUGGUUCAGUAUAAACCUCAUGAGGAGAGGUAAAUCACCGAAGACGCGACACGACCGAGAGUCGCCGCAGCCGCGGGACUUAGCACGACUACAAGCACGACCGCCAGAAACAUCAGCAUCAAUCUUCUACCACUACUUCUAGCUACUCGAACAACCGAAGCGUAGGUCAGACGCCCAGAGAUUCCAGAUGUAAUGUGGAUCCGGACGCCCUAGGUCGCAGCCGAAGUUGCGGGCAGUGGCCAGAUCAAUGGUAGGCGAUUGGUGCGGAUGCGAAGGCGGCCAGCCAGGUACAACUGCUAGGCUCCGAGACUGCGAGACCCGACGAAGCCAAAGACGCGACUCCAAUCUUCUCCACACUUUCUCCCGUGUGCACCUCGUGCGACUCCAGUGGUCGAACGGGGCAAUCACGCGCGGUCGGCUUCUGUUCACCGCGGAAUCCGGCUGCACAGUUUUCUAUAGUCACGUUCGAGUAAGUGCAUGCACGACCCGAACAGCGACGAAUCCAAUGCUCCUCUAAGGGGCUAUCGAAGUCGUGGGUUGGGCCCAGAGCGAUUCUUCGAACUCCUCCCGUAUUUCACCGGCUGCCGCGAACACGUUCGAUCGUGUGCGCCUCUAUUUCUAGUCGGUGGAUUCGGGCAGGCUGCUCACAAGAUCUCUGGCGCACCCACCGACUUUCACAAGCGGCACGCGAUCAACAGAGUAUGUUGUGCCAUAGCUGGCUGGCUGGCUGCUCGUGUAGCGCUUACGGCAUUACGCGGCAGCAACAGCCAUGCAUGGUUCACGAAUCGAACAGAGUCCUAUGUGGAAAGGCUACGGUCGUAGUGGCGACCGAACGCGGAAAAGCGUGUGAUCAAGGCUCCAAGGUACGAAUCGCGACCAGCUGUAGGCCAACCGAUGCUCGUGCGCUCAACGCUGCACGGGUAUCCGGGCGACCAAGCUGGCGCGUUUCGUCGCAACGAGGACGCACGUCGGUGAUAGACCGCGCGACUCCCGUCGUCGGCCUUUUAUCGGCGUCUCCGAACUAGACUCUCGCGCAGCACGGACCUCACGCAGUGUCCGCGGCGGCGAGUGCAAGGGUAGUAGGCUAGUGGCACGUUGUCCGGGCGUCUAUCCUCGCGGGAAGAUUCUCGGCGUCGCAGCGCUAGCGUGCACAUCCCGCGGCGUGAACAGCGGCUUCCGGUCUCGCUGCCGGAAGUGUCAGCAACUCAUUGCCUAGA
rnacentral:misc_RNA from 1 species